AAUGUGCUGUGCAAAAUGUGGCGGAGAGGAUGAGUGUGAGGAGGAACAGAGAUCAAAUGCUGUAACUGGGAGAGGCCAUAGUGCUGAUGUGCUUAUAAACUCUUAAAGUUAACAGGAAUUUUAGCUGAAGAAAUACACAAGAUUUUAAAAGCGAAAGAAAGAACUGUUGCUUUGGAUAUGAUUCAGAUAACAUCUCACUCACAGUGAUGUCCGGAGCAUUAGCUGGAGAUAAUGGAAAGAAAAAUAAAAGUGUAUCUUGGUGGUCAGAAGUUUAUGUUUCAAGGAAAGUCAAGAGAAACAGGAAGUUGAAGAUCUGUCUGCAUUCAAUAUUUUUUUCCUCAUGAGCACAACUGCACUAACAUGUCAUGAAUACACAGAUAACAUCACCACCACCUGACGUUUCUACAAGCUCGAAGGCAGAGAUUAAAAGCUUUGAGGGGAAAGAUAAAGAGAGACUUAUGAGUCAGGCAUAAUGAAACUACAAGGUACGACGGGAAACAGAGUGGAGCUGUUAUUGAUCAUCUUUUGUGGGUGCUGCAUAUGUUAACCACAUAACCGAGGCUCGGUUCCACAACAAAGCGUACCCGAAUGAAUGUUUUGCUGCAGAAAACCUCCUCUCUUCCUGUCGCUGGAACAUGGUGUGCAGCAUCAUGAAAUCUUAAAGCUAGUAUGCUGGGUCGCAUGUCUAUUCUGAAUGGUACAAAAUGCAAAAUGGUGCAUGAGAGCAAAUAAUAAAAUACACACAUUACUGUUUAAAUGUUUGAUUUUGGUAAGAUUUUUUAAAAUAGUUUUGAGAGAAGUCUCUUAUGCUCAACAUGGCUGUUUUUAUUGGUUCAAAAAAUGGUAAUAUUAUUACAAUUUAGAAUAACUGUUUUCUUGUGUUGCUUAAUAUUUUGUGGGGAAACCAUGAUGCAUUUUUGCAGGAUUCUUUGAAGAAUAGAAAGUUCAAAAGAGCCGCAUUUAUUUGAAAUAGAAAUGUUUAUUAACAUUAUAAGUAAAUGUCUUUGUAAUACUCCUGGAAAGAACUAAAAUGAAAGAAGAUAGAGUCUGC